rnacentral:rRNA from 1 species
AUUGAACGCUGGCGGCAUGCCUUACACAUGCAAGUCGAACGGCAGCACGGGUGCUUGCACCUGGUGGCGAGUGGCGAACGGGUGAGUAAUACAUCGGAACGUACCUUAUCGUGGGGGAUAACGCAGCGAAAGCUGUGCUAAUACCGCAUACGCCCUGAGGGGGAAAGCGGGGGAUCGAAAGACCUCGCGCGAUUAGAGCGGCCGAUGCCUGAUUAGCUUGUUGGUGGGGUAAAAGCCCACCAAGGCGACGAUCAGUAGCUGGUCUGAGAGGACGAUCAGCCACACUGGGACUGAGACACGGUCCAGACUCCUACGGGAGGCAGCAGUGGGGAAUUUUGGACAAUGGGCGAAAGCCUGAUCCAGCAAUGCCGCGUGCAGGACGAAGGCCUUCGGGUUGUAAACUGCUUUUGUCAGGGAAGAAACUCUCUGGGCUAAUACCCCGGUGUAAUGACGGUACCUGAAGAAUAAGCACCGGCUAACUACGU